rnacentral:rRNA from 1 species
AGCGAACGCUGGCGGCAGGCUUAACACAUGCAAGUCGAGCGGGCACUUUCGGGUGUCAGCGGCGGACGGGUGAGUAACGCGUGGGAACGUGCCCUCUGGUUCGGAAUAACUCAGGGAAACUUGAGCUAAUACCGGAUACGCCCUUUUGGGGAAAGGCUUGCUGCCGGAGGAUCGGCCCGCGUCUGAUUAGCUAGUUGGUGAGGUAACGGCUCACCAAGGCGACGAUCAGUAGCUGGGCUGUGAGGAUGGUCAGCCACACUGGGACUGAGACACGGCCCAGACUCCUACGGGAGGCAGCAGUGGGGAAUAUUGGACAAUGGGCGCAAGCCUGAUCCAGCCAUGCCGCGUGAGUGAUGAAGGCCUUAGGGUUGUAAAGCUCUUUUAUCCGGGACGAUAAUGACGGUACCGGAGGAAUAAGCCCCGGCUAACUUCGUG